CCCUGAGGCGAGGAGAGUUGGCGUCCCACUGCUCCAAGGUGGGCGCUCCCGGAGGUCCGGUCCCGUUCGUAAGUGUCUUUGAGGCUGUUCGGAGAGGAAAGGGAACGGACCAGUGUCUCCUAGAGGUUAAAGACUCUUGCCCUUUGCCCCUCCGCCGAGCCGGCCAGUUUGCCUCAGUCACCUUGAGCGCCACAAAACUUUCAAAACUGGUUUGUGUGUUUUGAAGCAAUUGAAACAAUUGAGAGGGAUACGGCCUUGGCGUGUGUGUGUGUGUGUGUGUGUGUGUGUGUGGCGGUGGUGGUGUUAAGGCGCACAUUACCAAACCCUGUUACCGAAUGGACUUUAUCAGACAAGGGUUUCUACCUGGGCGCUAGGAAAGCUGGCUGCUGCUAGGUUUUCGUCCUGGGCACCUCAGUGGGAUCUUAAAUUUCAAAGCUGAGGUCGGAAGUCUCGACACCGAGAGAAGCCAGAGAUCCCGGUCCUACUCCCUGGAACUGAGUAGUGGGGCAAAAAGUUGUCUGCGUCCCUGUCUGUGCCCGGCGCCCGCAUCCGCAGGAGGUCGCUUCUUUCCGAUUUAGAAAGUGAUGAGGAUAAAAAGAGGCGCAGGGAAACGGAAAGGGAUCCAGGGGAUCCUGGAAGGAGAACUGGCUAAGGGAAGGGUGGAGGGGCAAGAACGACCUCGAGCACUGAGUGGGGAAAACGAAUUACCGACAGAAGUUGUUCGGAUGUCUCUGACGCCUGGCCUCCGUGCAGCGUAACGUAUACGUGGAUCAGAGUGAAAGAAAGUGUUGACCAUUUCCAGCGUGGAAAUUCACUUAAACCAGCUUCUGUUCCCCCCGCCCCGCGCCCCGCCAAGUGUUGACAAUAAACAUUUAAUGAAGGCAGAGACCUGGCUGUCUCCAGACAGGGUCAGAAUACUUUAAGCAGACCAUUAGCGCGGCUUCUUCCACUUCAAACAUCGCGCGGUACCCUCUAACAUUAUAUACAUACAUACAUACAUACAUAUGUGUGUAUAUCUAUCUCUCUAUAUAAAUGCACGGUGUGAAGCAAAUAAUACGUUCACACGGAUAUCUUCCGUGGUCUGCAGUAGUUCUGAUACCCCCUGUACUUACCAACAGAAACUAACUCAUUGUAGAUUACUCGCGCUUAAAAAAUGUUAAAUACAGUUAAUGCAAUAUUAAUCGCCCUUUGCUGAUAUAAAAUGCAAUAUUUUCGGGCAGCUAUUGAGCUUUUCUAGGGGAAGAGCUGAUGAAAAGAGUCACAGCUGAAUAGUGGAGAGAAAAAGCCCGGUAUUUAUUGCUUUUGUUUGGCUUUUGGCUACAGAGACAGGAACCUUCUAAUGGGAUGCACAUAAAAUCAGAGCCAGGAAAUCAUGAAGGAGAAAAGUUCAUGCUACUCAUCACAACCUUGCCAUUGGCCUCCAAGGAAGUGGAAUCAGAUUUUCCUCUCCUCAAAUCUGUGCUAGCUUGUGCGUUGCUUGAAACUGGUGGAAUGUGGUACAAGUGAAUACAAUGUGAUUUCUGAAAUGUGGUCAUAGAAGACAGCACAGCUCUCACCUGGUUGCCAAGACACUCACUUUCGGAACCCUGAGAGUCUGAUCACCCUGAGGCCUCCACACUGUGAGGAAGCCCAGGGCACAGGGAGAAGCCUGUGUGGGUGCACUCACCAGCAGUUCUAGUUGAGUUCCAAGAACUGAGCACCAAGAACGCGAAUGAAGAUGCUGCUGGUGACUUCAACCCUCGGCCGUGAGUAUUCUGUCUGGCAAUCCAGACACCACAUAGCAGAUACAAGCCAUUCCCUCAGAACUGCGUCUGAACUACUGAUCCACAGAAUCUGUUAUCCUUAUAAAAUUCUUGUGUUUCCUGCUGAGCUUUGGGUUAAUUUGUUAUACAAUGAUAGUAACCAAAACUGUCAGUAAAAUGUUCAAAUAUAAACAGCCAGGAAAUUUCAUCUCAGAAAUUGUAGUAGAUUUCAUUUGGGAUAAGAUGUUGGGCUAUUUAUUUAGAAAAAUCCAGUGAGAUUUAAUUAUUAAAGAGAGAUGGGGGGGAGUGGGUAAUCGUUUUAACAUCAAUAUUCUCGCUUUGAAAUUAAGUUACAACCUUAAAAAGUACAUAAUAAAGUCUGUAUUUUUAAAAGAUCAAAUGAGGGGUGGGCAUUGGCUCAGUGGUCAAGCUAAUACUUGGGAUACCUGCAUCUCACAUCAGUGCCCAGGUUUAGUUCUUGGCUCCAUUUCUGAUUCCAGCUUCCUAGUGACGUGAACCCUGGGAAGCAGUAGAUGAUAGCCCAAGUACUUGGGUCCCUUUCACCCACAUUAGAGUCCUGGAUUGCUUCUGGCUCCUGGCUCCUGGGUUCAGCCCAGUGGAGCCCCAGCUGUUGAAGGUAUUGGGGAGUGAACCAGUAGAUGGAAAUCUGUCUGGCUGUCCCUCUACUUCUUAAAUAAAUAAGAAAAUUUAAAAACUAAAAAUAUAUUAGUAAAUUGGUCAGACUGGAUGAUUCACUGCAAAAAUUCUCUUGAAAUAUGCAAUUUGGGCUUGAUCAAUGGGCAUUUUGUCAGUAUCUGUAGGUAACAGUAGAUAAGCUACUACUACUACCAUUCUAUUUCUGCUCUUCCUUUCUCUUUCACCUCAUUUUCCCUCCUAGUUAGUGCCCCUUUAGAGGGUCAGCUGGUGCAUGGGUGUGGUAUGGGGUAGUGUGUGAAAGAGUGCAAAGUGAAAGUGAUUUGUGUCAGCCUCUCAUCACACACACAUCUGACCAAGGGGAAGCCUAUUUAUAUAUGAAAUAAACUCAAACCUUCUAUUUAAUGGAAAAAUAAUUCUAAGAGGGUAGUUUUCAGUGGCAAACCUAAGUGUAAGACAAAGAAAUAAACCACAGCAAGAAAACAGUUCUCCGGGUCAUCAAAGAAGGAGGUACCUUUCUCUGAAGGGAGGAGAGAACUUCCACUUUGACCAUGGCCUUGUCUAAAUAUGAUCAGAGUCGGUGAACUCAGGGGGCUUCCAUAGCCUUGGCAGCUCAUGACAAGAGUCUAGGGUGAUUACUGAUGCCAUAGACAAGAGUGUCAAUUUGUUAAGUCAACAACAGGAGUCACUGUGCACUUACUUCUCAUGUAGGAGCUCUGUCCUUAGUGUGCUGUACAUUGAGAUUUAAUGCUAUAACUAGUACUCAAACAGUAUUUUUCACUUUAUGUUUCUGUGUGGGAGCAAACUGUUGAAAUCUUUACUUAAUGUAUGCUAAACUGAUCUUCUGUAUAUAAAGAGAAUUGAAAAUGAAUCUUGAUGUGAAUGGAAGGGGAGAGGGAGUGGGAAAGGGGAGGGUUGCGGGUGAGAGGGAUGUUAUGGUGGGGAAGCCAUUGUAAUCCAUAAGCUGUACUUU